UACGUAGGGUGCAAGCGUUGUCCGGAAUUAUUGGGCGUAAAGGGUGCGUAGGUGGCGCUGUAAGUCGGGUGUGAAAUUUCGGAGCUUAACUCCGAAACUGCAUUCGAUACUGCGGUGCUUGAGGACUGGAGAGGAGACUGGAAUUCAUGGUGUAGCAGUGAAAUGCGUAGAGAUCAUGAGGAAGACCAGUGGCGAAGGCGGGUCUCUGGACAGUUCCUGACACUGAGGCACGAAGGCCAGGGGAGCAAACGGG
rnacentral:rRNA from 1 species